UGCGUUCCUUCGACAACGCAUGCGUCUUUCCUGAGAGCUCAUUGGUAACCAUAGACCGCUGGCCUCGUGCGCCCCCGCGGCGAGCCGUGGACGCGAAGGCUAAGAGCGGAAGGAGGUCUAGGAUUGGAUGCCACCAGCACUUCCUGGUUUAGAGACGCCGGAACCCGGCUAUCCCAGAGGGAGCAAGGGAGUAUCUGCCCUUGGUUGGGUUGUGGUUCUGCGAAGCUCGGUCUUUGAGGGUCUGGUGACCCCUGGAGAAGCUCUAGGGCCUCCAGGUUUCCUGGCACCACCGCCCUUGUUUUCUGUCCGUGUGGCGCCAGGCUUUAGGGCUUUGGCGCGGCAGGUGCCAGACGGCAGUUAGGCAGGGCCUCUGGCCACGGCUUCUCCUUGGUCCUGGGAGGACCCCCGGCGCCCUCUAGUGCCAGUCAAGGUCUGGCCGCGAAGGUUGGCGGUCUGGGAGCGGCCCCUGCGUGGACCACUUACGCCGUUCUCUUUUGUGGGCGUUUUUCAAAGUGCCUGAACCAGCCUGAGGUCAAGCACCUUCUUGCCUUAGUUACUGUUGUACUGUUCCGCCACCGCUAGGUGUCAUGCCUGUCGCCUGAAGUGAAGUCGCUCAGUCGUGUCCUACUCUUUGCGAUCCCUUGGACUGUAGCCUACCAGUCUCCUCCAUCCAUGCGAUUUUCCAGGCAAGAGUACUGGAGUGGGCUGCCGUUUCCUUCACCAGAGGAUCUUCCUGACCCAAGGAUGGAACCUGGGUCUCCCGCAUUAGUCGUUGCCCAAUAAACAUGUUUGACUACA